UUUUUGAUUUUGCAGAGCCAAGUGCAUGGGGCUAAACCCAGCUUGGUUUAGCUUUCUUGCAAACGAUGGCUUUAAGUUGAUCAUCUCCAUCAUAAAAUCAAUAUGCCCUGCAGAGGCUGCUACAUGCAAAGGAGUAUGGAAAAAAGCACCUAUCAUCCUCUCAUCCAUGGCAAGGUGCGGAAAUUUGCACAAUAUAGAAAUGGAGUGAAGAAAAAAGGCUUUAGCAGACGAUAUGAUUAUGUUAAGGAUAUAAUGAAGUGUUUGACAUUUUAUAGCACUUAAUUAUUUUGGAUUUAUAUUUGAUGUCAGCGUAUACAUGUGAAUGUCACCUAUUAGAAAGAAAUAGUAAUUAUAUUUAGUAAUUAAA